UUAAGUGUUUUGCCUGGAGGGGGCCCUAAUUUAUUCCCUGUGAAUUGUGACAACAUGUCCCACUGAAAGUCCUCUGGUUUGAUGGAUGAUGCUCUGAGGAGACACUGAAGAGCUGUGAAGAGCUGGGAGGUGGCAGGUACAGGGGGGAGCAGCUCCUGGCUUCCCUGGAGCAUCCCCCUGAAGCUGACAUUUAUGAUGACUGCUGAAUCAUGCACAGAAACUCUCAUAGAAGAGAGAGCAAAGACUUCCUCAGACAGUGCUCAGCAGUGAUGGAUGCUUGAAUGGACUUUCCUGGCUGCUACUGCAGAGAAGGCUCAGGACAUGUUUCCACAAGGAUGCUUCCCAAUGGUUCUACAAAUCCUGCUGUGCACCCCACCCAAAGCCCCACUGAGGAGGGUCACUGCUGAUGAGGGGGGGCACAGCUCCAGCUCCUUUGCUCCUGAGCACUUUCUGCUGCUGGCUUUGCCUCUCUACCUGCUGUUUAUAGAUGGAUUACAGAGCCCUUGCUGAUGGAGGCUUCCUGCUCACACUUGUCACUAGAGGAAAACUGAGUUUGGGAUUUUGUCAAGCCCUGUGAGAAUGACCUGCUAACUCCAAAAUAACUGUGACACCGUGAGCGACACUCUGGGGGAAUGCAACUCCUGUCCUUGCCCUCCUCUGCAGAUAAAUACAGCACGCCCUUUACUGCUGAGUGCUUUGGGAAGAAUGUCAGCCAGACAAGAGAGGGGAGAUAAAAGAAAGAAAGGUGAGGAUGUUUUUCAUCUGCUCUUUUUCUGAACCAUCCCGCUUGACUUUGCCUACAAGACUUUGGGCAGUGGGGUUAAGAGGAGCAGGCCAGGGGUACCUGGUGCCUCUGGGGUGGCAUAAUGGUCACAGGAGAGCAAAGGGGCUGUGACAUGAGGCUGCCUCGUGGGGAACUGGUAUUUUGGGUACCCCUUCUGGCACGGAGUCUGGAGGGAAGGCACAACAGGGUCUCACCAACCACAGCAAGGGAGUGGGAGAACAAACAAUCCAUAAGAAAGAAGUGCUGGUGAGUUACCCCAGCUCCUGGCUCUGCAGAUUGCUUUUGGCAGCAGGGCUCUCCAAGGGGGCAGGCUCUGGAUUUCAGAGGGUGGGUGCCUGUACACAGCUCUGCUGGGAUCUGGCCUGGGCUGGGAGUGCUGUACAGCUGAGCUGGUCCAUAGGCAAGAGCCGGGCUGCGCUGCCUGCCUCAGCCUGGGCAAGAGUGGCAACCAAACACAAGCCCACCAGAAUGCAUCCUAACAUCUACUACUUUUGCUGGCAAGGCAAGAACUAAUGGUGGUGCUUCUUAUGUGUGUGUGCCUUGGGCACAGCUGGGAGUGUUGCUGAAAUGAUCUGCUUUCGGUCUAGGCUGUGAUAGGAGCUGGGCUGUCUGGUUCUGCAAUGUGGGAAUUGCCUUUUCCCAGCUGCCAGUCUCAAAGUCAAGCUUUCACAGCACAAAUAAAAUGGGAUAUUGCACACACACAACUCCUUUCAACUAUCACUGAUAUUUAGCAGAGGGAAUAUUCAGAACAUUAUUCCCUCCAACACAGAAUGGCUGCUGGGUGUUACCAGACCAUGUCAAAUGACAUCUGAGUGGAAUUUUAUCAGCAACAAACAAGAAAAAAAUGAAGAAUGGAGGCUUAAAAAAAUUCCUUUUUUUUUCUAUCUAUACUGUGAUUUGUUAUGUAUAUCUAUACACAUAUAUACACAUACACAUGGAUUUUUAAAUUACUGUUGGGAUCUGAAGAAACAAAGGAAAAGAGCAGACAAUGUAAUGUUACUUGUUACAGAACAGAAUGUUAUGGUGUAAAACACCAGUUAGGGACAUCUGGGGGAGCAUGAGGAUGGUACUUUACACAUAUUGCUGUGGUCAGUGCAAAUUCUGCACUACUUUCAUUAACAGGGGAUCAAAGGUUUGAUGGGAUCUAGAAAUACAAGGAGGCUAAAACGUGGCAGGUGUAGGUAACCUCAUGUACACAGACCUUUGCCUCAGAAAGCGGAAUGUUCCUGCAAAUCUGACAUAAUCCAAUUCCUUGAUUUCCUCAGUGACAUUUCUGCAGGCUCACGUACAGAAGGACAGGGAAAUUGAGAUUUAUGACAGCUAUUCCUAGCAAAGGUCAUUUCUUGAAUGGUGAACAACAUGUCCUUAGUCACACUGAUGACGAGGCGUUGAAGGAUAAGGGAGAGGCUGGAGAGCUUUAAUGCUUGACAGGGAAUAACAGAAAUAGAGCAUAGAUCAUCUCUCUACUUGGGCCAGGAAGCUUGAAUUCUUCCACCACCAGUCAAAGCCAGGGAGCAGGAGGCAAAAUCCAGAAAAAAAAAUACACAGGGAUUUCUGUGGAGAUUGUGAGGGAGUCUGAGUGUCCAGAUAGCAAGGGGAAAAGAGAAGCCACAGAGCAUGAGUUUUUGGAUAGUAAAGGUAUCCUCAGUGAAAUCAGCUGCUUAUAAAGAACAGGGUCAGGUUGCUCUGGGGCCUCCCUGCUUAUUAAAUAAUAAGACUGUACCCCUCUAUUCAUCAUGACUAUUUUUCCUGUUUGCCCAAGAGAUUUGACACUGUACAUAAAAUGAAGCACCAUUUUUUUUGUAAUCAGGACCCUUUUGGGAGUUAAACAAGAGUUGUUCACUCAGCUACUGACCUUAAAAGAGAGCAUUGGGUACCUUGGUUUAACCAGUUUUGCUUGUUUUCAAGCUCAUAAUAUUGGAUUAAGUAAAAAUGAGGCCAUUUCCCCAAAGCUUGGCUCAGAUUCUGAGCUGAGCUGAGGUUUGAGCUGGGUAAUUGUCACAAACCAGGCUUGUGGCCAGCAGGACCAGUCAAGAGAUGUUUGCAAUAUGAAGUCAACAUGGGGGCUCCUUGCUGACCCAUCUGAGUGCUCUGACCCAAGGAGGAGCUUGGGGGCUCUUCAUCCAUGCCCCUGCUAAUCCCUCUUUGCCAUUUAUUGGUUCCUCUGGGCUGUGAGCUGGCAGCAGAAGUCACAAGAGCUUUUGAGUUGGUCUGAUGAUAGAUUCAGUCCAGUAACCUGAGAAUGCUGUGGUGGCCUCUAGCUUCCAAUCUGUAGCUAAAGAUCUUGCCCUUCCUCCCACAGUAAUUCCUCACAUCCUCUGAAAUCUCCUAAAGCUUUCCCCAAAAUUGCAAGAACUGAGGAUGGCUGCUCUUAAAAACUGUAAAACAGAUAAUUUGUAGGAUAAUUGCCCGUGUUGUAUUUUUCCACAUACAAUAAAGGCAAAAGCAGCCUUACGCCAUGUACCCCCCAGGCCUGGUGUAACUUGAAUCCAAAAGCUAUGAAGGAAAUGGAAAAUGUUAAUAAAUAAUGAUGUUUGAAACACAAGUCACUGAACAAACCACCAGACCAUCUGUGUUUAUUCCACUGGACAGAAAAUGUCUAUUUUACAAUUAUUACUUACUAUAUAUUUACUUACUAUUAUUACUUAAUAUAUAUUUAUUAAAUUAUUUAUUUUACUUUACUUUCCCUAGUUUGAGACAGUAAGAUCUUGGUCAUAGGUAUGUCUUAGGAAUUAGCCUGGGUGCUGCAGGUUAUUCAGGAGAUAAAUCAGAGAAGCUCACGG